CCGGAUGGCGACCGGCGCACGGGUGAGUAACGCGUAUGCAACCUGCCCGAUACCGGGGUAUAGCCCAUGGAAACGUGGAUUAACACCCCAUAGUACUUUUAUCCUGCCUGGGAUGGGAGUUAAAUGUUCAAGGUAUCGGAUGGGCAUGCGUCCUAUUAGUUAGUUGGCGGGGUAACAGCCCACCAAGACGAUGAUAGGUAGGGGUUCUGAGAGGAAGGUCCCCCACAUUGGAACUGAGACACGGUCCAA
rnacentral:rRNA from 1 species